ACCAAUUUUCAAUUUGAAAACAGUGAUAUAUCUUUAUUGUUGACUACGAUAAUGAUGGUUAUGAUUAUUGUUUAAUGAAAUAAUGAAAUUAUAGAUAAGGAUAGAUGUAAUUGAUAAAAUAACUUUUAUCUGAAAACUGAGUUUUGUUAUAAAGUAUGGAUAAAACUUGAUCAGUAAUAACAGUUGUACUCGUCAAAAGUUCUCGGAGAGAAGUGAAGUUACAUCAGACGGCAGAGAGAUCUCGGACCUCCACUCUUCAACUUCUCCCUACUACUCUCAUGUUCACACACAGGCUCAUACAAUAUACAUACAUAUAUGUAAUAGUUCUUUACCAAAUAGACUUAUACAUUUAUACUUUCUACUAAUACAAAUUUGAGAUAUAAGCUUAUACAUUUACGUUCUUUACUUUAUCCAUUCUACGUCUUCUUAUUACUUAUAUUAUUUAUAUUUUAUUUUCCUGUACUUGGAUACAAUCUUCCAGUUAGAUAUUCUAGACUAUCAGAGGUUCCAAGUAUCGGGUAACAGAAAACGUUCCAAGACCACUCAAACUAUAUUUAUAUUUUUCUGAAUAGAAAAUAAAGAUAUGCUUAUC